rnacentral:lncRNA from 1 species
GGCUGCCGGCGGACGCUGAUCGGCGCCGCAGCCACCGCCACCGCCGCCCCAGGCGGAGGAUCCCCAGUAUCGUCCAGGUGGCGCCGCCGCUUGCGAUUUCUGGGCAGGAACAGGCUCCCCGCGGCGGCGAUCCCAAAGAAAGAGAGAAAGUGGAAGAGGAGGGCCGUGGGAUCGCCAUCGGAGGAAGAGGCGGAGGACGAAGGGAGGGAGAAGAGGAGGACGAGGGCCUGGGAGACGGCGGCCGUUGCGGCGGCGGCGGCCGCCCGGUGCUCCAUCUCCCAGCCGGGCUUUCGGUCCCUCAACGAAGA